CCUACGGGGGGCAGCAGUGAGGAAUAUUGGUCAAUGGGCGUAAGCCUGAACCAGCCAAGUCGCGUGAAGGAAGACUGACCUACGGUUUGUAAACUUCUUUUAUAGGGGAAUAAAGGUAUCCACGUGUGGCUUUUUGUAUGUAUUCUAUGAAUAAGCAUCGGCUAACUCCGUGCCAGCAGCCGCGGUAAUACGGAGGAUGCGAGCGUUAUCCGGAUUUAUUGGGUUUAAAGGGAGCGUAGAUGGGUUGUUAAGUCAGUAGUGAAAGUUUGUGGCUCAACCAUAAGAUUGCAGUUGAUACUGGAAGACUUGAGUGCAGUUGAGGUAGGCGGAAUUCGUGGUGUAGCGGUGAAAUGCGUAGAUAUCACGAAGAACUCCGAUUGCGAAGGCAGCUUACUGAACUGCAACUGACACUGAGGCACGAAAGCGUGGGGAUCAAACAGGAUUAGAUACCCUGGUAGUC
rnacentral:rRNA from 1 species